AACAGAUACUGAGGCCACAGGCUAGGGAGAUUUUCUUCCUAGAUUCCCUCUGGGGCAGCGGUUGGAGAGAUGAGAGUAGAACCAGUCUAUUCAGGUUUUUAGGGCACCUCGCAUAAUCCUUUCUGGACAGUGGUAGUUCUGUUUUAAACCACUUGUCCUUUUGUUUGUUUUAAUCGAUGGUUCGGUUUUUAUUUGAUCUAAAAUAAUCCAUUCCAUAUUCCAACUACAGUAUUUUGAUUCCUUAAACAGAUGGAAACAGAACUAUUUAUCUUUUUUGAGACAGGCAGUUCUUUUUAAGCCCGUUAUGAAAACUUUUUUAUUUGAAGUUCCAACCUCUUCCUUAUUCAGUUCAGGCUUUGUUCCAAGCGUUUAUGCAUGCUUUUCAAACAAAAGUUAAUUGAAGUUGAGUUACUUUUAUUUACUUUGCUUAUUAUUUGACAGACACGUUGCUCACAGCCUCUCUUCUGGCCCCUGGAGAGAGCUUGGUGUGAAUGAUGUCCAGGGCCUAACAAAGCAAGGGUGCUCCAACAACUGUGGCGUGUUUGUUUUGAUGGUAAGACCUAAUCAGUAUGUUAUAGCAUUGCUGUUGUCUGUAAAAAAUGUUUGCUUGCUACAUUAAAACCACAUUAAUUUGUAUUGAAAAAUAAUUAUCCUUGGGAACACGCCUGACAUUAUAUUAACCAGUACCUCUUGAAUUUCAGUACACUCUGUACAUUGUAAUGGGGGCCAAUUGUGAUUUCAGAGAGGUAUGUGUAAAUCAUGACACAUUAUGCUUAGUGUACAAGGUGUUAUUUAUUUUUACAACAUAUUAACAUCUUCCUGCAUUUCCUUCUUCAAAGGAAAACAUGCUGCAAAUUAGGAGAUGGUGGUGUCUCGCUCUCCUGCAGAACUUCCCCAUACCGUAAGAGCCCUGAAUAUCACACUUUUGAAUCAAAUGACAAAAAAAAACAGUUUUACGCACUGCCAACAGACCAAUGUGAAUGUUUCAUAGUUACUGUAUGUUGUCAUAAAAUCACUAAGGUCUGAGGAAGACCGAUUGCAGGACAGAAAACGGCGACGAGUGCAAGGAGGGCUACAGGUGAGAGGUCAUGUGAUUAAUUUGUCUUGUAGUCAACUAUUGCUAGACUAAAGCGUAAUCCCUCCACUUAUUUCAAUUAUCUGUUUCACAUCUUGCAUUGUUAUUGUGCCUAUAAGAACCGCAAUCUGUUUCCUUUCUAGACGCUGGGAAAUUGACGGACCUGGAAACCGGGAACAGGGUUGCUUGCUAUGGGCCAGA